rfam:Crassostrea gigas strain 05x7-T-G4-1.051#20 contig20951, whole genome shotgun sequence.
UAACUGGUUCUUUUAGGAACCAUCUCAAAAUAGAGGUACAUUUAUU